UGCCAGCAGCCGCGGUAAUACAGAGGGUGCGAGCGUUAAUCGGAAUUACUGGGCGUAAAGGGUGCGCAGGUGGCUUGAUAAGUCAGAUGUGAAAGCCCGGGGCUCAACCUCGGAAUAGCAUUUGAAACUGGUCAUCUAGAGUACUGUAGAGGGGGGUAGAAUUUCAGGUGUAGCGGUGAAAUGCGUAGAGAUCUGAAGGAAUACCAGUGGCGAAGGCGGCCCCCUGGCUUGAUACUGACACUGAGGCGCGAAAGCGUGGGGAGCAAACAGGAUUAGAUA
rnacentral:rRNA from 1 species